rnacentral:rRNA from 1 species
ACGAACGCUGGCGGCGUGCCUAAUACAUGCAAGUAGAACGCACAGUUUAUACCGUAGCUUGCUACACCAUAAACUGUGAGUUGCGAACGGGUGAGUAACGCGUAGGUAACCUGCCUGGUAGCGGGGGAUAACUAUUGGAAACGAUAGCUAAUACCGCAUAAUAUUGAUUAUUGCAUGAUAAUUGAUUGAAAGAUGCUAUUGCAUCACUACCAGAUGGACCUGCGUUGUAUUAGCUAGUAGGUGAGGUAACGGCUCACCUAGGCGACGAUACAUAGCCGACCUGAGAGGGUGAUCGGCCACACUGGGACUGGGACACGGCCCAGACUCCUACGGGAGGCAGCAGUAGGGAAUCUUCGGCAGUGGACGAAAGUCUGACUGAGCAACGCCGCGUGAGUGAAGAAGGUUUUCGGAUCGUAAAGCUCUGUUGUAAGAGAAGAACGGGUGUGAGAGUGGAAAGUUCACACUGUGACGGUAUCUUACCAGAAAGGGACGGCUAACUACGUG